AGAUUCUGAAGUGGAUUCUGGUACACUUGGCUGUAAGUGUGAGUACAGAUCUCGCACAAGAAUGGACACCUCAGCUAAUCCAAAAGACGUAGUCCACAUUUAAGAGUUUGAUUUGGAUCGCCAGGACGUGCUGAGACCACUGUGUCCUUCAAUAAACAAACGAAGAGCCUGCGUGAAGCUGCAGUACCGCAAUAGGCAAGUAUUGACUGUAUCAGAUUCUUCCUGUGACCUGAAGAAACACAGUCCAAUGCCCUCACCCAGCAGAGGGUGCCCAUCCCAGGGCAGGAAACCACAUCAAGAUGACAAGCCCUCUCAAUUUCAAAGGGGCAACAGCUCCCUGAGACACUGA